CGGGGUAACGGCCCACCAAGGCUACGAUCGGUAGGGGUUCUGAGAGGAAGGCCCCCCACAAUGGGACUGAGACACGGCCCAUACUCCUACGGGAGGCAGCAGUGAGGAAUAUUGGUCAAUGGGCGGAAGCCUGAACCAGCCAUGCCGCGUGCGGGAAGGAGGCCCUAUGGGCUGUGAACCGCUUUUGCCUGGGGGCAAUAAGGGCGUCGCGCACGUCCGAUGAGAGUACCAGGCGAAUAAGCAUCGGCUAACUCCGUGCCAGCAGCCGCGGUAAUACGGGGGAUGCGAGCGUUAUCCGGAUUCAUUGGGUUUAAAGGGUGCGUAGGCUGUGCGUCAAGUCGGGGGUGAAAUUCCGGUGCUCAACACCGGGGCUGCCCUUGAUACUGUCGCGCUGGAGUGCGGAUGCCGCCGGAGGAAUGAGUGGUGUAGCGGUGAAAUGCUUAGAUAUCACUCAGAACACCGAUUGCGAAGGCAUCUGGCGAAUCCGUAACUGACGCUGAGGCACGAAAGCGUGGGGAUAGAACAGGAUUAGAUACCCUGGUAUUCCACGCCGUAAACGAUGAUGGCUAACCGCCGGCGACACACUGUCGGUGGCCAAG
rnacentral:rRNA from 1 species